CCAAUAGCGUAUAUUAAAGUUGUUGCAGUUAAAAAGCUCGUAGUUGAAUUUCGGAAUCUGUCCAUCGGUCGGGCUUCACUGUCCGUACUGGUGUGGUGGGUUCUUACCUUCUGAAUAACCAGCAUGCCAUUCACUUGGUGCGCUGGGGAAGCAGGACUAUUACCUUGAAAAAAUUAGAGUGCUCAAAGCAGGCUAGUGCCUGAAUACAUUAGCAUGGAAUAAUAAAAUAGGACGGCAUGGUUCUAUUUUGUUGGUUUCUAGGAUCACCGUAAUGAUUAAUAGUGAUAGUUGGGGGCAUUAGUAUUCAAUUGUCAGAGGUGAAAUUCUUGGAUUUAUUGAAGACUAACUUCUGCGAAAGCAUUUGCCAAGGAUGUUUUCAUUAAUCAAGACCGAAAGUUAGGGGAUCGAAGACGAUCAGAUACCGUCGUAGUCUUAACCAUAAACUAUGCCGACUAGGGAUCGGACGAUGUUAAUUUUUUAAUGACUCGUUCGGCGCCUUACG
rnacentral:rRNA from 1 species